GCCAGCAUAGUUUAGUGGUUUGAACAUUGGACUACAACUCUGGAGCCCAAGGUUCGAAUCCUUGCUCAGCCA